rnacentral:rRNA from 1 species
GACGAACGCUGGCGGCGUGCUUAACACAUGCAAGUCGAACGGAAAGGCCCUGCUUUUGUGGGGUGCUCGAGUGGCGAACGGGUGAGUAACACGUGAGUAACCUGCCCUUGACUUUGGGAUAACUUCAGGAAACUGGUGCUAAUACCGGAUAGGAUCUCCUGCUGCAUGGUGGGGGUUGGAAAGUUUCGGCGGUUGGGGAUGGACUCGCGGCUUAUCAGCUUGUUGGUGGGGUAGUGGCUUACCAAGGCUUUGACGGGUAGCAGGCAUGAGAGGGUGACCGGACACAUUGGGACUGAGAUACGGCACAGACUGCUACGGGAGGCAGGAGUGGGGAAUAGUGCAGAAUGGGAGGAAGCCUGAUGCAGCAACGCAGCGUGCGGGAUGACGGCCUUCGGGUUGUAAACCGAUUUCGCCUGUGACGAAGCGUGAGUGACGGUAAUGGGUAAAGAAGCACCGGCUAACUACGUG